UACAGAGGGGGCGAGCGUUGUUCGGAAUUACUGGGCGUAAAGGGCGCGUAGGCGGCCUGUUAAGUCGGACGUGAAAUCCCCGGGCUCAACCCGGGAACUGCAUCCGAUACUGGCAGGCUUGAAUUCGGGAGAGGGAUGUGGAAUUCCCCAAGUAGAGGUGAAAUUCGUAGAUAUGGGGAGGAACACCGGUGGCGAAGGCGGCCAUCUGGACGGAUACUGACGCUGAGACGCGAAAGCGUGGGGAGCAAACAGG
rnacentral:rRNA from 1 species